UACGGGGGGGGCAAGCGUUGUUCGGAAUUACUGGGCGUAAAGGGUCUGUAGGUGGCCAACUAAGUCAGACGUGAAAUCCCUCAGCUUAACUGGGGAACUGCGUCUGAUACUGGUCGGCUUGAGUGCAGGAGAGGAACGCGGAAUUCCAGGUGUAGCGGUGAAAUGCGUAGAUAUCAAGAGGAACACCUGCGGCGAAGGCGGGUUGCUGGGCCGACACUGACGCUGAGGCGCGAAAGCUAGGGGAGCGAACGGG
rnacentral:rRNA from 1 species